UUAGUCAUUUUUAAAUUCAAU
rnacentral:piRNA from 1 species